rnacentral:tRNA from 1 species
AGACUGUUAGUUUAAUAAAAACAUCUGAUUUCGGCUCAGAAACUUGUGGUUAAAUUCCACAACCGUUUA